AUACAUGCAAGUCGAGCGGACAGAUGGGAGCUUGCUCCCUGAUGUUAGCGGCGGACGGGUGAGUAACACGUGGGUAACCUGCCUGUAAGACUGGGAUAACUCCGGGAAACCGGGGCUAAUACCGGAUGCUUGAUUGAACCGCAUGGUUCAAUUAUAAAAGGUGGCUUUUAGCUACCACUUACAGAUGGACCCGCGGCGCAUUAGCUAGUUGGUGAGGUAACGGCUCACCAAGGCAACGAUGCGUAGCCAACCUGAGAGGGUGAUCGGCCACACUGGGACUGAAACACGGCCCAAACUCCUACGGGAGGCAGCAGUAGGGAAUCUUCCGCAAUGGACAAAAGUCUGACGGAGCAACGCCGCGUGAGUGAUGAAGGUUUUCGGAUCGUAAAACUCUGUUGUUAGGGAAGAACAAGUACCGUUCGAAUAGGGCGGUACCUUGACGGUACCUAACCAGAAAGCCACGGCUAACUACGUGCCAGCAGCCGCGGUAAUACGUAGGUGGCAAGCGUUGUCCGGAAUUAUUGGGCGUAAAGCGCGCGCAGGCGGUUUCUUAAGUCUGAUGUGAAAGCCCCCGGCUCAACCGGGGAGGGUCAUUGGAAACUGGGGAACUUGAGUGCAGAAGAGGAGAGUGGAAUUCCACGUGUAGCGGUGAAAUGCGUAGAGAUGUGGAGGAACACCAGUGGCGAAGGCGACUCUCUGGUCUGUAACUGACGCUGAGGCGCGAAAGCGUGGGGAGCGAACAGGAUUAGAUACCCUGGUAGUCCACGCCGUAAACGAUGAGUGCUAAGUGUUAGAGGGUUUCCGCCCUUUAGUGCUGCAGCAAACGCAUUAAGCACUCCGCCUGGGGAGUACGGUCGCAAGACUGAAACUCAAAGGAAUUGACGGGGGCCCGCACAAGCGGUGGAGCAUGUGGUUUAAUUCGAAGCAACGCGAAGAACCUUACCAGGUCUUGACAUCCUCUGACAACCCUAGAGAUAGGGCUUUCCCUUCGGGGGCAGAGUGACAGGUGGUGCAUGGUUGUCGUCAGCUCGUGUCGUGAGAUG
rnacentral:rRNA from 2 species